GAAGGGCUCCCUUGCCAAGAAUGCUCAUCAAGCAAGAAGCCUCUGUUGCAAUCAAUCUGGUGCCACGGUUUUACUCCUCGGUUCUCCUGAGAUUGAAGUUAAACAAAUACGUAGUUUGGCCAAAGACCUGCUUAGUCAUUCCAACCACCAGACACACCAAAGGCCUAACUGAUCCGGGGGACUUUCGAACGUCGACCUUUCUUGAGCUGUCCAAGCCCAGAGGCGUGGGUGCUGGGAACUCACGUCAAGACUCCGUCUUCCUAUCUGGACCAGCUCAGGAUCCUCUCAGAGCCAGCUUAAGCUGGGGGACCUGUGCUGCGAGUGGUGGCCGCCUGAGGGCCAGGCCCAGUUCUCUUGCAGCAAGUUUCCCCUGCAGAGUGUGGCGGGGUCUAGGUCCUCCAGGAGAGAAGAUAAACGGUGGGAUGAAAUCGUCCUGCCAAGGGAAGACCAGCUGCAGAUAGUUUGGCCUGGAGAAAAGAAAUCUUUAGAAAACGUCCCCAGCAAGAGGGGCUCUGCGCCCGCCUGCUUGCGCUUCACGUUUCUCCCUGGGCCAGGGCUUGCGUUGCCAUGGUAACCCGCGGGGGUGGAGGGGGAAUGUUUCCAGAAAGGGAAGCAACAGCUGAAAGGUAGAAGAUUCGUCGAUUUGAAUGUAUCCUAUUGAAAUCAAUGUGACCUUGGCCUUUUUUUUUUUAAAUCAACUUAG